rnacentral:rRNA from 1 species
AUUGAACGCUGGCGGCAGGCUUAACACAUGCAAGUCGAGCGGAGAUGAGGUGCUUGCACCUUAUCUUAGCGGCGGACGGGUGAGUAAUGCUUAGGAAUCUGCCUAUUAGUGGGGCACACCAUUCCGAAAGGAAUGCUAAUCCCGCAUACGUCCUACGGGAGAAAGCAGGGGAUCUUCGGCCCUUGCGCUAAUAGAUGACCCUAAGUCGGAUUAGCUAGUUGGUGGGGUAAAGGCCUACCAAGGCGCCGAUCUGUAGCGGGUCUGAGAGGAUGAUCCGCCACACUGGGACUGAGACACGGCCCAGACUCCUACGGGAGGCAGCAGUGGGGAAUAUUGGACAAUGGGGGGAACCCUGAUCCAGCCAUGCCGCGUGUGUGAAGAAGGCCUUAUGGUUGUAAAGCACUUUAAGCGAGGAGGAGGCUACUGAGACUAAUACUCUUGGAUAGUGGACGUUACUCGCAGAAUAAGCACCGGCUAACUCUGUGCCAGCCGCCGCCGUAACAC